AGAAGACAAAGUGGAAGAGGAUCAGAGGGUCAAAGCUCUCAACAACCGAAGGCAUAGACUUUUCAAUUCACGCCGAUCUGCUGCUCGCUCAUCUUAACCAAUGAGGAGUACAGAUACCUGGAACGGGCGCCUGCAUGCAUGAUGAGCGACGAGGAGACGGACACUGAAGACAAAGACGUGUGGAAAGCGUAUCCACCUGAAUGGAGGGCAACAAGACUCACGGACAUGUUAGAAAGGUGUCAGCACCACCUCGUUGACCUACAAAAGAUGUCCUCCAGGAUGGUGCACCGGAGAGUGCCCAGUGGUGUAUAUAGCCAGAGGCAGCCGCUGAGAGGAAUCAGAUCCAUUUAUUUGAAAUAAAACUGUGUGCUUUAAUUAAGAAAAAA